rnacentral:rRNA from 1 species
UACGGAGGGUGCAAGCAUUAAUCGGAUUUAUUGGGCGUAAAGGGCGCGUAGGCUGGUCUUUAAGUCAGAUGUGAAAUCCCGAGGCUCAACCUCGGAACAGCAUUUGAAACUGAUGACCUAGAGGGUAGAAGGAGAGAAUGGAAUUCCACAAGUAGCGGUGAAAUGCGUAGAUAUGUGGAAGAACACCGGUGGCGAAGGCGAUUCUCUAUUUUAUUCCUGACGCUGAGGCGCGAAAGUAAGGGGAUCAAACAGG